ACAUACCAUCUGCAUAUUAUUCUUGCCCAAUACAUACAUGCUUCCUGCCAGCUCAACCUCUAAUAACCCGUAUAUAAAGUGUAAUUAAUUGUACAAGUUACUUUAAAAGCACUGAAACUCAGUAUUCGGGGUAUGACACAUGCUAAAUACAUAACAGAUUUUGAAUAAAUCAGUUUCAGACCAAACUAGAGUAGGGGAAACAGACAGAUGCCUUCACACAUAUGCCAAGCAAGGGAGACCCACCCAAACAGGAUGGAGUCCAGGGCAAGGGAACACAGCCAGUAUGCAGGCUUUUGUGUUUCCCGCUAGAGGCUGUUAAAGGGAGCAGUGACCUCGUAACGUGGCUGGCCCUGACGUGCUGAGAGGCUCUCCGCAUUGCGAGUCAAGGUUACUUGGAAAUUAACUGCUUUAUUCUUGGCCUGAUGCACUAACCAGCCAGAAUAAUGGGGCCGCAGAUCGUAGUCAUGUAGCUAAAGUUCAAGAUGACAAAAAUGGAAAUAAGCAGAUAUUCUCAGUGUCACCCUCCUCCUACUCUCCCCCUUUGCAUUGUCCUUUAUCUGAUCUUAAAUCACAGCUGGCACUUUCCCCAUAAUUUGGAUUCAUCUGCAAUUAUUGGAAUUCUCCCCCCCGAUCCUCUCCAGGGACCUUGAACAUGUAGGACCCACUGUUUGAGCCUGGCUUUCCACAGCUGACCUAAGGAGGGGGAACCCUGUGGGCUUGGACUCCUCCUGGGCAGGGCUGCACAGGACGCUGCACAAAAGCAGGGUUAGCAUUCCCUGGGUGAGCUGUGCCUGAAAGGGGCAUCUGGGAAACAAAGCAGGAAGAUUGAGACAUGACUCAGAUGGGAGGAAGGACAGUAUGGUGGACGUAUGUGUGUGUGGAGAGGAGACAAGAGCACAAUUAGAGAAAAAAAUGGGAAGAAGAGAACAAAGUGGCCUCCGAGGCUGGAUGGUAGCAACAAGUCGAGGAGCAGGCAUGAGAGUUCUAGGUGGAGACAUCAGUGCGGCAACUCGUACAUCUUGAAGGAGUAGAGCUUGGCCCAAGUGAUCCCCUCUGGGAUUUGGAAAUAUGUUUCUUCAUCUCCCCAAAUAUUAAUCCUGGGUCGGCUGAGCAACACUGAGAGCGUGGCGUGGCUGAAGGGGCUCCUGGG
rnacentral:lncRNA from 1 species